CGAAAGCCUGACGGAGCAAUACCGCGUGCGGGAGGACGCUUUUUGGAGUGUAAACCGCUUUUCUCAAGGAAGAUGAUGACGGUACUUGAGGAAUCAGCAUCGGCUAACUUCGUGCCAGCAGCCGCGGUAAUACGAGGGAUGCAAGCGUUAUCCGGAAUCAUUGGGCGUAAAGCGUCCGCAGGUGGCUCAUCAAGUCUGCUGUUAAAGACAGAAGCUCAACUUCUGAUAGGCAGUGGAAACUGGUGAGCUGGAGUACGGUAGGGGUUGAGGGAAUUCCCAGUGUAGCGGUGAAAUGCGUAGAUAUUGGGAAGAACACCAGUGGCGAAGGCGCUCAACUGGGCCGUAACUGACACUCAGGGACGAAAGCUAGGGUAGCG
rnacentral:rRNA from 1 species